GACCUGAUGGUGUAGUGGUUAACACGCCCGCUUAAGAUAAGCCGAGCCUAACCUGUUCAGCGGGAGUCCCGGUUCGAACCCGGGUCAGGUCA